UACGAAGGGGGCUAGCGUUGCUCGGAAUCACUGGGCGUAAAGGGUGCGUAGGCGGGUCUUUAAGUCAGAGGUGAAAUCCUGGAGCUCAACUCCAGAACUGCCUUUGAUACUGAAGAUCUUGAGUUCGGGAGAGGUGAGUGGAACUGCGAGUGUAGAGGUGAAAUUCGUAGAUAUUCGCAAGGACACCAGUGGCGAAGGCGGCUCACUGGCCCGAUACUGACGCUGAGGCACGAAAGCGUGGGGAGCAAACAGG
rnacentral:rRNA from 1 species